rnacentral:tRNA from 1 species
GAUAGUGUGGUAUAGUGAUUUGAGUGCUGGACUAUGACUCUGGAGACCAGGGUUCGAAUCCUUGCUCAGCCA